rnacentral:sRNA from 1 species
AUCUGCUUAAAGGGGCCGCGAGCACUUACCUCCCGCCCUGCUCCCCGCCGCCCCGCCACCGCGUCUUCAGGGCUCCCGGCAACUGGCUGGAAGGGCUUCCCUCACCCUCAGUAACAGCCUGCCAGCGAGGAGAGGCGAGCCGGGCGGGAGGCAAAGAGGAGGCACCGCAUUUGUAAAAGGCAAGAGAGAAAGGAAGGAAGGAAAAAAAAUAACCCGAGCGGCGCAGAGUGGACUCUGGUCCGGGAGAGCACGGGCGGGCGCCGGAACGUGGACCCAGAGGUACCGGAAUGCAAACAAAGCUCGCGGGCGCCUGUGCGGGGCUCGCGGGGAAGCCCAGAAAGUUUGUUUUAUGAUGGCUUGAGUGCGCGAGCGUGUGCAGGGGAGCGAGGCUGCCAAGUUUCUCUCUCCUGUUUUGUGAUUUGGGGAGAGAUGUUUCUCCCAUGAACAGGCGGAGGCUUGGGGGCUCGUGCUGUGGGGGGCACCUGUCUCUCGUUUUAUUUUAUUUUUUUGGAGGAGGGGUGUAACUCAUCAUGUCCAAAGUGAUCCAGAAGAAGAACCACUGGACUAGCAGGGUUCACGAAUGCACCGUGAAGCGGGGACCCCAGGGCGAGCUGGGGGUGACGGUGCUGGGAGGCGCGGAGCACGGGGAGUUUCCGUACGUCGGAGCGGUGGCGGCGGUCGAGGCAGCGGGGCUUCCCGGCGGCGGCGAGGGCCCGAGGCUGGGCGAAGGGGAGCUGCUUCUGGAAGUGCAGGGGGUCCGGGUGUCCGGCUUGCCCCGCUAUGACGUGCUGGGGGUCAUCGACAGCUGCAAGGAGGCCGUCACCUUCAAGGCCGUCAGACAAGGAGGAAGGCUGAACAAGGACCUGCGACAUUUUCUCAAUCAGCGAUUCCAGAAGGGGUCUCCUGAUCAUGAGCUCCAGCAGACCAUAAGGGAUAACCUUUACCGCCAUGCUGUGCCUUGCACAACCCGAUCUCCCAGAGAAGGAGAAGUGCCUGGCGUGGACUAUAACUUUCUGACUGUGAAGGAGUUCUUGGACCUCGAGCAGAGCGGGACUCUUCUGGAAGUCGGCACCUAUGAAGGAAACUAUUAUGGGACACCCAAGCCUCCUAGCCAGCCAGUCAGUGGGAAAGUGAUCACGACGGAUGCCUUGCACAGCCUUCAGUCUGGCUCUAAGCAGUCGACCCCGAAGCGAACCAAGUCCUACAAUGAUAUGCAAAAUGCUGGCAUAGUCCAUGCGGAGAAUGAGGAGGAGGAUGACGUUCCUGAAAUGAACAGCAGCUUUACAGCAGCCGAUUCUGGUGAACAAGACGAGCACACUCUCCAAGAAACAGCAUUACCACCUGUGAAUAGUAGCAUCAUCGCUGCUCCCAUCACGGACCCUUCUCAGAAGUUCCCUCAAUACCUACCUCUUUCUGCAGAGGAUAAUUUAGGUCCUCUACCUGAAAACUGGGAGAUGGCCUAUACUGAAAAUGGAGAAGUCUAUUUUAUAGACCAUAACACGAAAACAACAUCUUGGUUAGACCCUCGGUGCCUAAACAAGCAGCAGAAGCCUCUGGAAGAGUGUGAAGAUGAUGGUAAGGGGCCAGGCAGGUCUUGGGUUAAGUGAAUUGGGGGCACUGUUCACAUGUGCAAAUUUUAAAGAGUCGUAGCCAGGUCAGUCCGGUCUUAUGUUGAGUUUUUAAAAGGUAAUCCAAUUUCUGCUAAAUGGACUGUGGUUUACAAAAGCAAGAAGAAAGUCAGAGUUGUUUCAAGAGAAGAAUUUGUUUACACAUAAAGACAGAUGCUUACUAAUAUCUCCAUUAGAAGCAGAACAGUCAGAAACUGUUCAAAUGAAGAUACGUCCUCUGUCUUCAGGAACUUAGAGUAAAUUCUAGAAAGUCUCUAGGAAUAAAGAAACCAAAGAUGGUCUGGUCAGUCACACAUUCUCAGGUUUAACCCUAUCUUAUAAAAGUCUUAGGGGGAAAAGUUGGGAGUUUUUCUUGAACUGUACAUAUUUCACAUACUUCCCUAGUCUUGGAGGUAGGGGAAACAGAUCUAGACAUGUUUGAGAAUCUCUGUGUAACUUAGAGUAUACCCACAAUAUGUAGUAAGUGUAUUCUUUUGAGACAGAGGUUGAGGUAUUACCUAGAGCACCACUCUCCCUGUUAAUCUUGGAAAUGAACUAACUGGCUGUAAGAGCUUUUGUUGAAAAAGUUCAUUUCAAGGCUUUGGGUUUUCUAACUACUUCUCCAAAAUGAAAAAAAAAAAAAAA